rnacentral:rRNA from 1 species
GACGAACGCUGGCGGCGUGCUUAACACAUGCAAGUCGAACGGAAAGGCCCUGCUUUUGUGGGGUGCUCGAGUGGCGAACGGGUGAGUAACACGGGAGUAACCUGCCCUUGACUUUGGGAUAACUUCAGGAAACUGGGGCUAAUACCGGAUAGGAGCUCCUGCUGCAUGGUGGGGGUUGGAAAGUUUCGGCGGUUGGGGAUGGACUCGCGGCUUAUCAGCUUGUUGGUGGGGUAGUGGCUUACCAAGGCUUUGACGGGUAGCCGGCCUGGGAGGGUGACCGGCCACAUUGGGACUGAGAUACGGCGCAGACGCCUACGGGAGGCAGCAGUGGGGAAUAUUGCACAAUGGGCGGAAGCCUGAUGCAGCAACGCCGCGUGCGGGAUGACGGCCUUCGGGUGGUAAACCGCUUUCGCCUGUGACGAAGCGUGAGUGACGGUAAUGGGUAAAGAAGCACCGGCUAACUACGUG